UACGUGGGGGGCAAGCGUUGUUCGGAAUUACUGGGCGUAAAGGGCUCGUAGACGGCCAACUAAGUCGGAUGUGAAAUCCCCAGGCUCAACUUGGGAACUGCAUCCGAUACUGGAUGGCUUGAAUUCGGGAGAGGGAUGCAGAAUUCCAGGUGUAGCGGUGAAAUGCGUAGAUAUCUGGAGGAAUACCGGUGGCGAAGGCGGCAUCCUGGACCGACAUUGACGCUGAGGAGCGAAAGCUAGGGGAGCAAACGGG
rnacentral:rRNA from 1 species